ACGAACGCUGGCGGCGUGGAUAAGACAUGCAAGUCGAACGCUCAUUGGUCUGCAGCAAUGUAGGCCAGUGGGAGUGGCGCAAGGGUGCGUAACACGUGGGUAAUUUGCCGCGAAGUUGGGGAUAACUCGCUGAAAGGCGAGCUAAUACCGGAUGUGAAAAUUAAAUGGCAUCAUUUGAUUUUCAAAGUUGGGGGCCCGCAAGGGCCUGACGCUUUGCGAUAAGCCCGCGGCCUAUCAGCUAGUUGGUGAGGUAACGGCUCACCAAGGCUAAGACGGGUAGCUGGUCCGAGAGGACGACCAGCCACACUGGAACUGAGAGACGGUCCAGACACCUACGGGUGGCAGCAGUCGAGAAUUUUUCACAAUGGGCGCAAGCCUGAUGGAGCGACGCCGCGUGGGGGAUGAAGGGCUUCGGCUCGUAAACCCCUGUCAUUUGCGAACAAACCUCUGGUGUGAACAGCAUUAGAGUUGAUUGUAGCGAAAGAGGAAGGGACGGCUAACUCUGUGCCAGCAGCCGCGGUAAUACAGAGGUCCCGAGCGUUGUUCGGAUUCACUGGGCGUAAAGGGUGCGUAGGUGGUGGGGUAAGUCUCGUGUGAAAGCUCGCAGCUCAACUGCGAAAAGUCACGGGAUACUAUUCCGCUAGAGGCUUGGAGGGGGGACUGGAAUACUUGGUGUAGCAGUGAAAUGCGUAGAUAUCAAGUGGAACACCAGUGGCGAAGGCGAGUCCCUGGACAAGACCUGACACUGAGGCACGAAAGCCAGGGGAGCAAACAGGAUUAGAUACCCUGGUAGUCCUGGUUGUAAACGGUGCACGUUUGCUGUAAAAGGAAUCGACCCCUUUUGUGGCGAAGCUAACGCGCUAAACGUGCCGCCUGGGAAGUACGGUCGCAAGAUUAAAACUCAAAGAAAUUGACGGGGGCCUGCACAAGCGGUGGAGUAUGUGGCUUAAUUCGAUGCAACGCGAAGAACCUUACCUGGCCUUGACAUGCACGUGGUAGAACCAUGAAAGUGGGACGACCCCGCAAGGGGAGCGUGCACAGGUGCUGCAUGGCUGUCGUCAGCUCGUGUCAUGAGAUGUUGGGUUAAGUCCCGCAACGAGCGCAACCCUAUGUCUUCAUGUUGCCCAUCGGGUAGAGGCCUGGAGCACUCUGAGAAGACUGCCUCGCUUACAACCGAGGAGGAAGGUGGGGAUGACGUCAAGUCAGGCAUGGCCCUUAUGGCAUGGGGCCACACACGUACUACAAUGGCCUGGUACAAACCGGGCUGCAAGACCGCGAGGUGGAGCUAAUCCAUAAAACCAUUCUCAGUUCGGAUUGUAGGUCUGCAACUCGACCUCCAUGAAGCUGGAAUCGCUAGUAAUCGCGGAUCAGCACGCCGCGGUGAAUACGUUCCCGGGCCUUGUACACACCGCCCGUCACAUCACGAGAGUCGCUGUAACACCGAAGUCGGUGUUCGUAACCGUAAGAGAGCUAGCCGCCUAAGGUUGGGACAGAUGAUUGGGGUG
rnacentral:rRNA from 1 species